rnacentral:rRNA from 1 species
UACGUAGGGUGCAAGCGUUGUCCGGAAUUAUUGGGCGUAAAGAGCUCGUAGGCGGUUUGUUGCGUCGGCUGUGAAAUCCCGAGGCUCAACCUCGGGUCUGCAGUCGAUACGAGCAAACUAGAAUGUUGCAGGGGAGACUGGAAUUCCUGGUGUAGCGGUGAAAUGCGCAGAUAUCAGGAGGAACACCGGUGGCGAAGGCGGGUCUCUGGGCCGAUAUUGACGCUGAGGAGCGAAAGCGUGGGGAGCAAACAGG